rnacentral:tRNA from 1 species
GUCCAGGUCGCCAAGUGGGAAGGCGUUGGUCUGCAAAACCGACUAUGCGAGAGUUCGAUUCUCUCCCUGGACUCCA